GUAAUCCUAAUUGUUCGCGAACAAUUAGAGGUCUUUCCACCUUUUCUGGAUUUGUUUCUUGACCUUUGAUCUUGAUCCAUUCCUCAGUAGGUCAAAUGAGGCCAACCAAAAAAAAAAAAAAGUUGAUUUGGCUAGAAAAGAAAUUCAAAUUUGCCGCCUAAAUUGGAGUGUUGAAGUGUGUUCAAUGCUUGGUUUCGCAUUAAGUACCCGUCAAAUUUGAGGGAGAAAAGGGGUGUGGGUGUUGGGUAGCCAGCACAUAUGCACAUAUCAGGUAAAAGUGUAAUGGGACUUGUGCAGGUGUUUGGGGUGACUUUAGACCUGUUAGAUGUGAUAUUUGGAGGUGCAAAGAAACCGGAUGUGCCAUUUUCCUAGAUUGUAGUAACUGCUGGUGUAUGCUGGGAGUCUACAAGCCUCAUGUUGUCAGAUGUUGUGAAGAUGCACUGGAUUUGACCUUGUGUGUUGUGGAUUGUGGAAUUGAAUAUACAGUUUGUAAUGGCUCAUCCUAUGUUUUAAUUCACGGAGACAAUGUCUUUCAGUCAUUUCACCCAAGGAGACAUGCAUAUACGGAUUUAUAGGCUUUGACAACAAACAACCAAAAUGGCGGCCGGUGAAUUAGAAAGUGUCUGAGUGCAUGUAGGAUAUCUGAACGGAGAAUAGGAGUACUGCAUCCCAUCUGAUCCUGCAGUCAUUUCACCCAAGGAGACAUGCAUAUACGGAUUUAUAGGCUUUGACAACAAACAACCAAAAUGGCGGCCGGUGAAUUAGAAAGUGUCUGAGUGCAUGUAGGAUAUCUGAACGGAGAAUAGGAGUACUGCAUCCCAUCUGAUCCUGCAGUCAUUUCACCCAAGGAGACAUGCAUAUACGGAUUUAUAGGCUUUGACAACAAACAACCAAAAUGGCGGCCGGUGAAUUAGAAAGUGUCUGAGUGCAUGUAGGAUAUCUGAACGGAGAAUAGGAGUACUGCAUCCCAUCUGAUCCUGCAGUCAUUUCACCCAAGGAGGCAUGCAUACGGAUUUAGGCUGAGUGACAAAUUACCCCAAACAAAAUGGCGGCCUGGGAAAGGAAAAGUUUCUGAGUGUAGGAUCUGAACGGAGAAUAGGAAUACUGCAUCCCAUCUGACC